GCCUGGGUAGCUCAGUGGUAGAGCUCCUGACUAGAGUUGCAGGGGUCCUGGGUUCGAUUCCCGGUUCAGCCA
rnacentral:tRNA from 1 species